ensembl:lncRNA
GUCCGAUCUCGUUCCGUCGCUUCCUGGCCGGGUAAGCGUGGGGUCCGAUCUCGUUCCGUCGCUUCCUGGCCGGGUAAGCGUGGGGUCCGAUCUCGUUCCACCGCUUCCUGGCCGGGUAAGCGUGGGGUCCGAUCUCGUUCCACCGCUUCCUGGCUGCGUAACCGUGGGGUCCGAUAUCGUUCCAUCGCUUCCUGGCCGGGUGUGUGCGGAUCCCAGCAGAGGACCCGUGCGAAGUGUUUCCAGCACACUGCUGGUGCAGAGGUCGGCACCCAGAGGUGAGGCCCGGAAGUGAGAGGGCAACCUCCCACACGCUCUGAGAAGUGGAGCCCACUCUCUUCAAAGGCAAGAGGACUGAAACGGCCCUGUUUUUAGUGCCAUCGAAACACACCCCUUGAAGAACGGUUCUAAGAAGACCCGUGUCUGUCCCAGGCCUGCCCCACAGCACCCCCGCUCAGGGAGGGAGCUGACCGCCUCCCCCCGGUUUGAAGAAGCUGCACACCAGACCUUAAAAGUCUUGCCCAGAAGUGCCACGGAUCUCCAGCUUCUGCGCACUAACUGAGGCAAGGCUUGCCCUGACACCAGAGCUUAAUGCGUGGUGAGAGCUGUGGGCUGCCGCCCCUCCCGGCGUGCCCAGGGGGUCCGGAUCAGCUCCUGGUCCGUGUUCCGGAACGUUGCCCAACGAGUGGUCCCUGUACGCCGUCAGCGCUGUGUCAGGAAUGCUGACUCUCGGGCCCACGCGGGGCCACUGCACCCGUGUCUGUGCCUCGCAAGACUUGAGGGGAUUUACGUGCUCACUAGAGGCUGAGAGGCGCUGGACGUUCAGAAUGAGAAACGCUGGUCUUCUGGACUCUCAGUUAAGAACGGGCCGUUACACAGCUACUUGAUGCAGACUGCUUCACGAGCCUUGAGCGUGGAUCUUCUGGCGGGAGGGGAAAUGGCCUGCUUUCUUCCUCGCUUUGAUCACUAAAGACGCAGCCAGGACUGCUCGUGGGACAGAGAUGGCCCGAGACACCCACAUGAGAUGCCCUCGUCUCUGCUGCCGGGGCGCGUCUGGAGCCUCCUGCACUGCCGUCCUGGCUCCAUCCUGGCUCAGGGUCCGGCCUGAGUAAGGCCAGGGGCUGUGCCCGCCUGCAGCAGCAGUGAGAGGGAGUCCAGCCUGAGGACGCGCCCUUCCUCUAACCGUCUGCUCUGGGGUGUUUCUCUCUGUUUUGUUUUCCAGCUUUAUGCAAGUAUUUUUAGAUGUCUUGAUCCCCUGCUCCUACUUUGCGCCUCCCUGUUCCCCUCUUCCCACUGGCAGUCAUUGGUUUGUUCUC